rnacentral:rRNA from 1 species
GUGGGGAAUAUUGGUCAAUGGGGGAAACCCUGAACCAGCAACGCCGCGUGAAGGAAGAAGGCUUUCGGGUUGUAAACUUCUUUGACAGGGGACGAAAGCAAUGACGGUACCCUGAAAACAAGCCACGGCUAACUACGUGCCAGCAGCCGCGGUAAUACGUAGGUGGCGAGCGUUGUCCGGAUUUACUGGGUGUAAAGGGCGUGUAGGCGGGGCGGUAAGUCAGAUGUGAAAUGUAGGGGCUCAACCACUGAAUUGCAUUUGAAACUAUCGUUCUUGAGUGAUGGAGAGGCAGGCGGAAUUCCGUGUGUAGCGGUGAAAUGCGUAGAUAUACGGAGGAACACCAGUGGCGAAGGCGGCCUGCUGGACAUUAACUGACGCUAAAGCUCGAAAGUGCGGGUAUCGAACAGGAUUAGAUACCCGGGUAGUCC